rnacentral:rRNA from 1 species
UACGAACUGCGCGAACGUUAUUCGGAAUCACUGGGCUUACAGGGUGCGUAGGCGGCGGAGAAAGUAGGGUGUGAAAUGCCUUGGCUCAACCAAGGCACAGCGCUCUAAACUACUUCGCUCGAGUUGAGUCAGGGGUGCACGGAACGUUCCGGUGGAGCGGUGAAAUGUGUUGAUAUCGGAAGGAACACCGGUGGCGAAAGACGGUGCACUGGGGCUCAACUGACGCGUGAGACGAAAGCCAGGUAGCGGAACGG